GGUUAGGACCUGAGACAAGGCGGUGGCCGCCAGUGGCAGCACUCGCACCAGGAACUCAAGGGUUCUGGGCCUGUGUCCUGGAGCUGCCCUGUGUCCCAGUGCUGCCUGUGACACACAUGCCACCUGGAGCCAGCAGGGCAGGCCGCAGGCGUGUGGAUCUGACCCUUGGAAUGUCCCCUCUGGACAGGCCUGGGGGACCUCCUGCUGCUCUCUGGGAGUUCGGGAGCCUCUUCUGCUGCAGACACAGCCCUCCCGCUGCAAGCCAGGGAGCUACCAUGCAACCAGCACCUGCAGCGCAGGAGAUGUGGACAUGGAAACGGCAAAAAUGGACGCCACAGGCCCAGACCCUUCCUUCAACAGGAAGGGAAUGGAGGUUGGAGAGGCUCCCUCACCUGCUGGGACUGGGCCCAGACGCAGCCUCACGGGGCAGCCCCACACCAGCACCCGCUCCCUGCCCUGUGCCCUCGGCUUCCUGGCUAGGACCCUGUGGCCCAGGCUGUAGAGGGCAAGGGCCUCACAGCUUGGGCAUGUCCCCUGGUGGCCCAGAAGUCGCUGUCCCCACAGGCGCUCCCUGCCAUCUGCUUUGCCCUCUACCCUAUCUCUGGGUGCUGUGGAUGGGCGGGGUGGCUGGUGGACCCUGGCUGGGGUUUUUGCUGUUGCUUUAGCAUCUACUGUGUGAAUGCAUGUGUGUGCACAUAUAUGCCCAUGUGUGAGCACGUGCCUGUAGACAUUGUGUGUGCACACGUGCCCCCGCGUGUAUGUGGUCAGCGCAUGCUUGAGCCCUGGGUGGCCAGUGCAGGGGAUACUGAUCCCCUCCCCAGCGGGGCUGCAGGGCCGGGGAAAGCCACUUUUUGAGUUUUGGGGUUGCCGCAGCUGGGAAUCUGGUGUGGAUGGGGCCUGGCAGGAAGGGUGGGGGGUGUGGGCUUGGCCUCUGCUCCCACUCAGACAGGGGGGGGGGGAAGCGUGAGACCUCUCUGGCUGCAGCCUCCCUUAGAAAGCUCAGAGCUUUGUUUUAUUGUGGGGCUGCAAAGUUUCUGCAGGAAUAAAGUUCAUUUUUUUUCCCCCUGCUUGAUUUUU
rnacentral:lncRNA from 1 species